rnacentral:siRNA from 1 species
ACCGUCCGCAAAUCCCACAGAACA